rnacentral:lncRNA from 1 species
UCUGGUUCUCCAUGAUGCUUCAGUCACAGAAGCACGAGGAAGGAGCUGGAUUUCUUUCACACACUCCUUAGGAUGUUAUAGGCAGUGCUGUCUCGGAGGCGCCUGGAUCCUGUUCCUCUCAGAGCUGCAGCUCUGCGCUCAGACACAGGAGGCGCUGUUCCUGUCAGAACUGUGUCUCUACACUUCUGCGCUUGGCCACAGGGGGCGCUGUUAACAUCAUUGCUACAGGCAGAGGAGAUGCUGUUCCUCUCAGAGCUGCGACUCUGCACUCAGCCACAGGAGGUGCUGCUCCUAUCAGUUCCAGGAAGGAAGUUCUCUGUUCUUGUCUUUUUAUUUGCUUUGAGUAUUUAUUUGCUCUUGUUUCUCCCCCCACCUACCCCCCACCCCACGCUCUGUUCAAGCGCACGGUGUUGUCCGUUUCCAUGGUAUCUGUGCGCUACGCCAUUAGAAGAGGCGGUCAAUAAUGCCACUGCCAGGGUGAUGACCAACAAGAAGCUCGUCAGCCCGUACGCCAACGGUGAGGGGCUCAGCUCGUUGCCCUACGGUACUGCCCUC